GGGCGGUUCGGCAGCUACACAUGCAGUCGAGCGGUAGCACAGAGAGCUUGCUCUCGGGUGACGAGCGGCGGACGGGUGAGUAAUGUCUGGGAAACUGCCUGAUGGAGGGGGAUAACUACUGGAAACGGUAGCUAAUACCGCAUAACGUCGCAAGACCAAAGUGGGGGACCUUCGGGCCUCAUGCCAUCAGAUGUGCCCAGAUGGGAUUAGCUAGUAGGUGGGGUAACGGCUCACCUAGGCGACGAUCCCUAGCUGGUCUGAGAGGAUGACCAGCCACACUGGAACUGAGACACGGUCCAGACUCCUACGGGAGGCAGCAGUGGGGAAUAUUGCACAAUGGGCGCAAGCCUGAUGCAGCCAUGCCGCGUGUGUGAAGAAGGCCUUCGGGUUGUAAAGCACUUUCAGCGGGGAGGAAGGCGGUGAGGUUAAUAACCUUGUCGAUUGACGUUACCCGCAGAAGAAGCACCGGCUAACUCCGUGCCAGCAGCCGCGGUAAUACGGAGGGUGCAAGCGUUAAUCGGAAUUACUGGGCGUAAAGCGCACGCAGGCGGUCUGUCAAGUCGGAUGUGAAAUCCCCGGGCUCAACCUGGGAACUGCAUUCGAAACUGGCAGGCUAGAGUCUUGUAGAGGGGGGUAGAAUUCCAGGUGUAGCGGUGAAAUGCGUAGAGAUCUGGAGGAAUACCGGUGGCGAAGGCGGCCCCCUGGACAAAGACUGACGCUCAGGUGCGAAAGCGUGGGGAGCAAACAGGAUUAGAUACCCUGGUAGUCCACGCCGUAAACGAUGUCGAUUUGGAGGUUGUGCCCUUGAGGCGUGGCUUCCGGAGCUAACGCGUUAAAUCGACCGCCUGGGGAGUACGGCCGCAAGGUUAAAACUCAAAUGAAUUGACGGGGGCCCGCACAAGCGGUGGAGCAUGUGGUUUAAUUCGAUGCAACGCGAAGAACCUUACCUGGUCUUGACAUCCACAGAACUUUCCAGAGAUGGAUUGGUGCCUUCGGGAACUGUGAGACAGGUGCUGCAUGGCUGUCGUCAGCUCGUGUUGUGAAAUGUUGGGUUAAGUCCCGCAACGAGCGCAACCCUUAUCCUUUGUUGCCAGCGGUCCGGCCGGGAACUCAAAGGAGACUGCCAGUGAUAAACUGGAGGAAGGUGGGGAUGACGUCAAGUCAUCAUGGCCCUUACGACCAGGGCUACACACGUGCUACAAUGGCAUAUACAAAGAGAAGCGACCUCGCGAGAGCAAGCGGACCUCAUAAAGUAUGUCGUAGUCCGGAUUGGAGUCUGCAACUCGACUCCAUGAAGUCGGAAUCGCUAGUAAUCGUAGAUCAGAAUGCUACGGUGAAUACGUUCCCGGGCCUUGUACACACCGCCCGUCACACCAUGGGAGUGGGUUGCAAAAGAAGUAGGUAGCUUAACCUUCGGGAGGGCGCUACCACUUGAUUACGG
rnacentral:rRNA from 1 species